UAGGGAAUCUUCGGCAAUGGACGAAAGUCUGACCGAGCAACGCCGCGUGAGUGAAGAAGGUUUUCGGAUCGUAAAACUCUGUUGUUAGAGAAGAACAAGGACGUUAGUAACUGAACGUCCCCUGACGGUAUCUAACCAGAAAGCCACGGCUAACUACGUGCCAGCAGCCGCGGUAAUACGUAGGUGGCAAGCGUUGUCCGGAUUUAUUGGGCGUAAAGCGAGCGCAGGCGGUUUCUUAAGUCUGAUGUGAAAGCCCCCGGCUCAACCGGGGAGGGUCAUUGGAAACUGGGAGACUUGAGUGCAGAAGAGGAGAGUGGAAUUCCAUGUGUAGCGGUGAAAUGCGUAGAUAUAUGGGGGAACACCAGUGGCGAGGGCGGCUCUCUGGUCUGUAACUGACGCUGAGGCUCGAAAGCGUGGGGAGCAAACAGG
rnacentral:rRNA from 1 species